GGCCUUGCUGGGGGAUCUCAGCUACGGAACCAGUGUGGCCUCAGAUGGGGACCCUUGCGGGGCAGGGAUGCCUGUCAGGCCACCCCCAUCCUCUGUGACCAGUCUCCCUAUCACUGGCUCCCUGACUCACUCUGUGGGCCCCCCGCCACAGUGGCCUCUUUGCCAGGCUCUUAACAGACUCCUGUGCUCCGUCCCUGGCUCUACCCAGAUCACUGGCGCCCUCACCCUUAGGCUCCGGGAGGGCAGGACUUCCCUUACUGCUUUACCUGGAAUUUCAGCUCGCCACUUCCUGUUUCCUGUCUCCCUUUCCUGCUUAGUUUUCCCACGGCACUUCAUUCUUCUAAUGUCCUGUUUAAUAUAUUUAUUAUACUUAAUGUUCUACUAUGAGGUGAAGGUCCGCAGGGAGUCUGUUUUGUGCAAAGAACGGUGGCUGGCACGUACUGCGUGUCCAGGAAACGCUGUUGGAAUGAAUGGAAGUGAUGAUUGUAGUAGCAGCUCUGCAAUACAGUGACCUUGUCGCUCGAAAGUCAUUGUGGCUGAGUACUGAGUGCUGUGGCUGGGUUCUGAGGGAGGUGUGUGGCAAGUCACCUCCCCUUUGGGAAAGGACAGCCAGUUAAGAGGAAGAUCAGAAAGGUACUAGGAUCUCCCUGUAAAUCUUUUUGCAGCUUUUAGUCUAUAGUUAGUGCAAGAUAAAAAGUUUUUUGUCAGAUCUACCACUGGUAAUAAUGCUUUUAGAAAUUUUGUCUUUGAUUAACCCCCCAGAAAGUAAAACCCACAUGCUAGUCCCAAAUACUCAAUGACAUUUGUUUUGUUUUGUUUAUAAAUUUAUUUAUUUGUUUGUUUGUUGGCUGCAUCGGGUCUCAGUUGCGGCAUGCAGGCUCUUCGUUGCGGUGUUCCGUCUUCUCUCUAGUUGUGGCGCGCAGGCUCCAGAGCGCGUGGGCUCUGUAGUUGCGGCACACGCGGUCUCUGGUUGUGGCACGCAGGCUUAGUUGCCCCGCGGCACGUGGGAUCUUAGUUCCCUGACCAGGGAUUGAACCGGCGUCCCCUGCAUUGCAAGACCGAUUCUUAGCCACUGGACCACCAGGGAAGUCCCGACAUUUGUCGAUUAAAUGGGUGAGGUGGAGUAAUCUGUUAGAACCACGUGAAAGUGAGCCGUUCUGAGGCCUGCUCUGAAUCCUGAUGUGUGACUGAAGGACUCAAGUCAUUUCCAGAACCUUCACUCAGAGUGAAUUUAUGUUCUUGGUUUUUCAUUGUAUUAAUGUGGUGCUGGGACUGAACAGAUACUGCGUGUUUCUUGGCCCUUUGUGUUCUUGAGUCCCCCUCACUCGUGGAGGAAGGAUGGCUCUGUGCUCAGUGCUGAGCUACCCUGGAGACGUGUGCUUUUUGCUCAGUCUCAGACCUGGAACUUGGGGCCAGGCCUCUGCACUGGUUCCUGUGCUGACCGACCUGACGCCACCAGGCAGGAUCCCUAGCAGGCUGCUGCUGACCGUGCAUCUCAGAGCCCAGGUGUGACGUGCUUGCCUUGGUCCUGGGCUGGAGAAGAUGCUCAGUAGGUGUGGGAUGGAUGAAUGACUAAAACUGAGGCUGGGAGGCCGGAGUAAGGAGACGAGGUGGAAUUUUAUUUAAGGUGGGACUUUGCUUUUAGAGUCAGGAAAUAAAAUGAGCAUGGUUUUUAAAAACAUUUUUAUUGGGGUAUAAUUGAUUUACAAAUGAUUCUUUUUCUUUUUUUUUUGGCCACACUGCACAGCAUGUGGGAUCUUAGCUCCCCAACUAGGGAUUGAACCCUGGGCUCCCUGCAGUGGAGGCCUAGAGUCUUACCCACUGGACCGCCAGGGAAGCCCCCAAAUGGCGUGAUAGACGCAGAUGUAAUCACCCUUGAAAAAUUCCUUAACUCUUUAAUAAAGUACUUUGUACAGGGUUUGGAGCAUACAGUGCUGUAGGCAAACCAUAUAUCUCAGCCAAUGAGGGCAGCCAGCUUUCCAGUAAGGAAACAGACCCUGUGUCUUCAGGGGACAGGUGUGGAGGGUGUCGGCCCGCUCUUGCCCAGGAGGUGGACAGGAGACUGUUGGCUCUUGACGGUGCUCCCCGUGCAGUAGUUAAAACUGUAGUGCUCCCCAAAUGGGGCUUGUUUUUAUGUUCUUAUUGGAUGGUCAGAUCAGAGCAUUCUUCAGCUGCAGACUCAUCUCCUGCUCUGUCACAGUCCUUCCCUGUCUGUGUGUCAGCAGAAUCUGUACUAGACUUUCCUUCCUGAGAGAGGACGGGACUCGGGCUCACAUGAUGGGGCCCCACUAAGAUGAGGGUCAUGGUACCUGCCCUUACUGCCUGUUGGGGGAGUACAGGAGGUGGUAAGUGGGAAGGUAUGUCAUCAACUGCUUCCUAAGUUUAGGUGACAAAGAUGCUGAAAAAUGACAGUAGUCAUAUUUUAUGAAAAUGCUAUCCCUCAUUUAAGAGAAGGAACUGUUGGGACUUCCCUGGUGCCCCAGUGGUUAAAACUCCAAGCUUCCAGUGCAGGGGGCGUGGGUUUGAUCCCUGGUCGGGGGAUCUAAGAUCCCACAUGCCGCACGGUG
rnacentral:lncRNA from 1 species